AUGGUGGCCUGGGACUUUCAGAAGCAAACAAGCACUGAGCCACCUCUCCCCAAUACAGGCCCCAAGCAACAUUCAGAGACCUCCAGGGCCCCCUCCUGGAUAAACCAAUCCCACUGGCCCCUGCCAUCAAGGUGGAAAACGGGGGGUCUUCUGUCUGGAAUGCUCAAGAGCAAAAGCCAAGCUCAUCCUUAUCCAGCUUAGAGGUCCAGGCACGUGUGGAGUCCUGCCAUUCAGCAACCAUUCAGAAGCCCCUAAAGAUUGUCCGUAGUACCGGAGCACCCCAAAGCACUGAAAGCCUCGUGAAGAGCACACAGAGCCUCAAGCCAGAGGUAUGCAGUAUCGACACCCUGUCAAGCAGUGGCUAUGAAGCCGACGGGGAGUACAGCAAGGACAGCCUGGUUAACAGGAAGCAAACAGUGAGGCUGACUAAGCAGCUCCCCAUCCGGGUUGAGAGCAGUGAGAUAUUAUUCAUCGUGCCCCAUCUCAGCCCAUUCAAGAUCCGAAGGCUGGCCAAGAAAGGCCAGUGCACCCAGAAGUCUGGAGGGGAAAAGUGAGAGCAGCCUGCCAGGCAGCAGAGUCAGCAGCCUGAGUAGCAUCAGCUUCCUCAGCCCAGGCAGCAGUUUCCUGUCCUACCAGGUGAGCAGUGGCCUGCUCAGCACCAGCAGCAGCAGCAACAGCAGCAGCAGCAACAGCAGCAGGCCCUCCAGCAAGGCCAAUAGUAGCCAGAACAUUCAGGUGGACUGUAAUGAGCAGAGGGAGCCGAGAAGCAACACCAACCUCCAGGAGGACAAGGCCAGGGAUCCUGUGGAAAGCAGCAGCCAGUCCACCCAGGCUGAGCAACCGACCCAGGAGCCCAUGCCUUUAUGAGGAGAUUUCUCAGCUGCUAGUAUCUAGACACUAGGGCCCUACAAACACCGGUUCACCCGGAAUGACCACUGGCAACAUAAGUAGGAAAAACUGAAGACGUGGGAGCUGUGUCUUCUAUAGCCAUGGCCAUCAACAGACAGGUCACACACAGGACUGUCUGCUGAGAAGUAGGUGAAGUGGACCAUCUGUAUGGGAAGGUAUUGUGAGAAGAGCUGGAGCAAGAACCAUCAUCCAUGCCAGGCCAUCUUUAUCAAGCCACCCGUGGGAAGAGCAUCAAGCUUUGUAAGUCUCAGCACAGGCUAUCUAUAAGAUCCAUCGAAAUUAUCAGCACCAAGAUCAGUAGUGACAAUUGACAACUGUUUUAAGAACUGUUAGAAGGCAGGACAUUCCACAAUGAACCCAUUAUAAACAAUGAGUACCAUUUACAACUGCCAUGUGCUCAGAAGAAACAUGUCACCUAUCCUGGGAGUAGCUUAGGUCCAGAAGCGUCUGGAAUGAUAAGGACCCUGCAUGGGGAUCUAUAACCAUGGGGAACUCCAUCCCUACUGAGCUCUGUAAUGUGCAGGCACUGCCCAUGGAAGCCCCAACCGGGGGAUACUGUACACAAAGAACAUCCACGACUCCCAGAAGUGUAGCCCAGCCCAUCUGGGAGACCGUCAAAAGCAGCUGGGAGUACCACUGGCCCCAGGGCAGUGUCUAGAGAGAACUUUGAGGGGAUAUGUCAAAGGACCCAGGUGCCCAAACAACCCAUGGAAGAGCUAUGCUUCCCUGUCUAAUUCUUUCUGGGCAUCUGUACCCCACAUUCCAUCCAGGAACAAAGGUUGAGCUCACUGUUCCUGUCUCUAUGAUGGCCUCAGAAAAGCAGAAAUCAGAAGCCAGGGACAGCCCUUUUGCUCAGAUGGUUGGAACCAGGCUCCCUGUGGCAGUAUGUAACAGUAAACAGCCACCAUAGACUCAGAGACCGGCCUGCAGGAACUGCUGAGGCAGAAACUCUACACCAUGGACAAGUGCUGCAUAAGUGGAUAAGAGGCCUAAGGCUCUAGCCCCUGCCCUUUUCAGAACAGUGGAACUGUUCCCUGGGCUAAGCACAUAGAUUCAGGAAACAAAAGGGUACACAAAGAGAAGAGGCUAGUGGCAGCCAAUGGAAGCAUCCACCAGGCACCAGAAGGAAAGUUGAGGGGGCACCAAACACAAUAAAUGGUGUCUGGAGAGGUCACA